rnacentral:rRNA from 1 species
AAUGAACGUUGGCGGCGUGGAUUAGGCAUGCAAGUCGAGCGAGAACCCCGCAAGGGGGGACAGCGGCGAAAGGGACAGUAAUGUGUAGAUUAUCUGCCCUCAGGUCCGGGAUAGCUUCGGGAAACUGCAGGUAAUACCGGAUAACAUCUCCGGAUCAAAGGUGUGAUUCCGCCUGAGGAUGAGUCUGCAUCCUAUUAGCUAGUUGGUGGGGUAAUGGCCUACCAAGGCAUUGAUGGGUAGCAGGUGUGAGAGCACGACCUGCGUCAUUGGGACUGAGACACUGCCCAGACACCUACGGGUGGCUGCAGUCGAGAAUCUUCGGCAAUGGGCGCAAGCCUGACCGAGCGACGCCGCGUGUGGGAUGAAGGCCUUCGGGUUGUAAACCACUGUCAGAGGGGAUGAAAUGCAGGUGGGUUCUCCCAUCUGUUUGACAUAGCCUCAGAGGAAGGACGGGCUAAGUUCGUG